CAAGUAAACCGGGUGGCUGCUCGUCGGGGCGGUACUCGCCCUGAGCGGGAGGAAAGUCCGAGCUCCACCGGGCAGGAUGCUGGGUAACGCCCAGGGGGGGUGACCCUACGGAAAGUGCCACAGAAACACACCGCCAGCGGCCGGUUUCCGGUGCGGGCAAGGGUGAAAUGGUGAGGUAAGAGCUCACCAGCGGCUGGGUGACCAGUCGGCUGGGUAAACCCCAUCCGGAGCAAGACCAAAUAGAGGGAGAUAAGGUGCCCGGCCUGUUCCCCGGGUUGGUCGCUUGACCCUGAUGGUAACAGCAGGGCUAGAUAGAUGGCCACCGUCCUUCCCUUCGGGGAAGGAUACAGAACUCGGCUUACAGGUUUACUUGGCCC
rnacentral:RNase_P_RNA from 1 species